AUGGGGGAUAGCUCGGCGAAAGCCGGAUUAAUACCGCAUACGCCCUGAGGGGGAAAGUGGGGGACCGCAAGGCCUCACGUUAUUGGAGCGGCCGAUGGCUGAUUAGCUAGUUGGUAGGGUAAAGGCCUACCAAGGCGACGAUCAGUAGCUGGUCUGAGAGGACGAUCAGCCACACUGGGACUGAGACACGGCCCAGACUCCUACGGGAGGCAGCAGUGGGGAAUUUUGGACAAUGGGGGAAACCCUGAUCCAGCAAUGCCGCGUGUGCGAAGAAGGCCUUCGGGUUGUAAAGCACUUUUGUCAGGGAAGAAAUCCUUUGGGCUAAUACCCUAGGGGGAUGACGGUACCUGAAGAAUAAGCACCGGCUAACUACGUGCCAGCAGCCGCGGUAAUACGUAGGGUGCAAGCGUUAAUCGGAAUUACUGGGCGUAAAGCGUGCGCAGGCGGUUGUGUAAGACAGGUGUGAAAUCCCCGGGCUUAACCUGGGAAUUGCAUUUGUGACUGCACGACUAGAGUGUGUCAGAGGGGGGUGGAAUUCCACGUGUAGCAUGAAAUGCGUAAUAUGUGGAGGAACCCAAUGGCGAAGGCAGCCCCCUGGGAUAACACUGACGCUCAUGCACGAAAGCGUGGGGAGCCAACAGGAUUAGAUACCCUGGUAGUCCACGCCCUUAACGAUGUCCACUAGUUGUUGGGGAUUACUUCCUUGGUACGUAGCUACGCGUGAAUUGACCCCUGGGGAGU
rnacentral:rRNA from 1 species